AUUGAACGCUGGCGGCAUGCCUUACACAUGCAAGUCGAACGGCAGCACGGGAGCAAUCCUGGUGGCGAGUGGCGAACGGGUGAGUAAUAUAUCGGAACGUGCCCAGUAGUGGGGGAUAACUGCUCGAAAGAGCAGCUAAUACCGCAAACGACCUGAGGGUGAAAGUGGGGGAUCGCAAGACCUCUCGCUAUUGGAGCGGCCGAUAUCAGAUUAGCUAGUUGGUGGGGUAACGGCCCACCAAGGCAACGAUCAGUAGGGGUUCUGAGAGGAAGGUCCCCCACAUUGGAACUGAGACACGGUCCAAACUCCUACGGGAGGCAGCAGUGAGGAAUAUUGGUCAAUGGGCGGAAGCCUGAACCAGCCAAGUAGCGUGCAGGACGACUGCCCUAUGGGUUGUAAACUGCUUUUAUGCGGGGAUAAAUGACACUACGUGUAGUGUUUUGCAGGUACCGCAUGAAUAAGGACCGGCUAAUUCCGUGCCAGCAGCCGCGGUAAUAC
rnacentral:rRNA from 1 species